GCAUUGGGUUUGAAUCUGAGAAAUUGCCAAAUAGGCGAUUUUGCUUUUCGUUUUGACACCAAAUCUUCCGCCAUCGUCUUGUCUGUCAACUCUCUCUCGUCCUGUGUGUGAAAUCGGAUUCCUGUUACUCUGUGCUGAGACAGCAGACACUUUCAGUUUGUAGCGUCCAUUGUCCGGCAAUGUAUUGAUAACACUGCGCUGAUACGCUAAAAUGGACUAAAUGGGUUUUAUUUCUGU